rnacentral:lncRNA from 1 species
UUUUCCUUUUACAUGCUACAGACCUCUCUUUCUAUCCUGUUAUCUUCAUGGGAACAUGAAAAAAAAAGCACUAUUUACUGCUCUGGGAUUAUGGUCCUAUAAAUAAGCAUAUAUUGAGAGUUGUCAGGUCUAAAUAGGAUUAGCAUGAUUUUUCUACUUAUUCUUGUGGUGGAUUAUUUUUGUAUAAUUUGUGUAUAAUUUAUUCUCACCCAUUCUUUCUACAGGGCAAACCAGCUUUUAGCUUCUCAGCUUUUUCUCUGCUUCCCCUGCCUGCUGACUGUUCUUUUGACAUAGAAGCUUCAGAUAAAGCCACAGACUAGGUUGUAUGUGAAAUGGGAUCUGGGCAUUUUAUUCUCUGUCUGAAACCACUGGUCAAGAAAGAGAGCAGAGGGAGCAGACUCCUUGCCUUGGCCCCAGUGUUGGGCUGCAGUUGAAUGAGAACUAAUAUGGGAGAGUGCUGCUCAAGAGUUGUCCUUUCUGACCUCUGUGAAAAUUGCUGAUGGUAUCCCAAACUAUAUGUGACAUCCCCUUUAAUGGGCUGAAUCAGCUCACAAAGGGGUUAGGGCAGUGCCAGAGGUGGGGACCAACAGGAGAGAAGGCAGAGGAAACUCCCCUUCUGUGGCAACUGGGUUGGCUCAGCCCUUCUACUCAGGCAGUCUUCCCCUGCCAGCGUGGCAAUCCACUGAAGCAGAGAUCAGAAUGACCUGUCAUUUGGGAAUGCUUCCC